GCCUUGGUAAUUUAAUGGUCAGAAUAGAUGUCUAACACACAUCUUGAGGAGGUUCGAUUCCUUCCUAAGGCA